GGAUCUAUGGCACAAUGGUAGUGCAUCUGACUCCAAAUAAGAAGGUUGUGUGUUCAAUUCAUGUCGGGUUCA
rnacentral:tRNA from 1 species